rnacentral:rRNA from 1 species
GACGAACGCUGGCGGCGUGCUUAACACAUGCAAGUCGAACGGUAAGGCUCCAGCUUGCUGGGGUACACGAGUGGCGAACGGGUGAGUAACACGUGGGUGACCUGCCCUGCACUUCGGGAUAAGCCUGGGAAACUGGGUCUAAUACCGGAUAGGACCGCACCGUGAGGGUGUGGUGGAAAGUUUUUUCGGUGUGGGAUGGGCCCGCGGCCUAUCAGCUUGUUGGUGGGGUAAUGGCCUACCAAGGCGGCGACGGGUAGCCGGCCUGAGAGGGUGGACGGCCACAUUGGGACUGAGACACGGCCCAGACUCCUACGGGAGGCAGCAGUGGGGAAUAUUGCACAAUGGGCGGAAGCCUGAUGCAGCGACGCCGCGUGGGGGAUGACGGCCUUCGGGUUGUAAACUCCUUUCACCAUCGACGAAGGGUUUCUGACGGUAGAUGGAGAAGAAGCACCGGCUAACUACGUGCCAGCAGCCGCGGUAAUACGUAGGGUGCGAGCGUUGUCCGGAAUUACUGGGCGUAAAGAGCUCGUAGGUGGUUUGUCGCGUCGUCUGUGAAAUUCCGGGGCUUAACUCCGGGCGUGCAGGCGAUACGGGCAUAACUUGAGUACUGUAGGGGAGACUGGAAUUCCUGGUGUAGCGGUGAAAUGCGCAGAUAUCAGGAGGAACACCGGUGGCGAAGGCGGGUCUCUGGGCAGUAACUGACGCUGAGGAGCGAAAGCAUGGGGAGCGAACAGGAUUAGAUACCCUGGUAGUCCAUGCCGUAAACGGUGGGCGCUAGGUGUGGGUUUCCUUCCACGGGAUCCGUGCCGUAGCUAACGCAUUAAGCGCCCCGCCUGGGGAGUACGGCCGCAAGGCUAAAACUCAAAGGAAUUGACGGGGGCCCGCACAAGCGGCGGAGCAUGUGGAUUAAUUCGAUGCAACGCGAAGAACCUUACCUGGGCUUGACAUAUACAGGAUCGCGCCAGAGAUGGUGUUUCCCUUGUGGCUUGUAUACAGGUGGUGCAUGGUUGUCGUCAGCUCGUGUCGUGAGAUGUUGGGUUAGGUCCCGCAACGAGCGCAACCCUUGUCUUAUGUUGCCAGCACGUUGUGGUGGGGACUCGUAAGAAACUGCCGGGGUUAACUCGGAGGAAGGUGGGGAUGACGUCAAAUCAUCAUGCCCCUUAUGUCCAGGGCUUCACACAUGCUACAAUGGUCGGUACAGUGGGUUGCCAGUCCGUGAGGGCGAGCUAAUCCCGCAAAGCCGGUCUCAGUUCGGAUCGGGGUCUGCAACUCGACCCCGUGAAGUCGGAGUCGCUAGUAAUCGCAGAUCAGCAACGCUGCGGUGAAUACGUUCCCGGGCCU